UCUGUGUUUUCUCAAACUUAACUACUACUUAACUUGUAAUCUGAAAUUAGAGAUUGUGGCACACGAUGCUGAAGUUUGACCUUGGCCAUCGGGAAGAAGUUGUGCGGUGUGACAUUAUGAGAAUUGGCAAGCAGACUCCUCUCCAGCUGAGCUUGUCACGAGAUUGUGCUUGCUGGCAUCAAGCUAUGGACUUGCUA